UACAGAGGUCCCAAGCGUUGUUCGGAUUCACUGGGCGUAAAGGGUGCGUAGGUGGCCAGGUAAGUUUGGUGUGAAAGCUCGGAGCUUAACUCCGGAAAGUCAUUGAAUACUAUCUGGCUGGAGGGUCGGAGGGGAGACUGGAAUUCUCGGUGUAGCAGUGAAAUGCGUAGAUAUCGAGAGGAACACCAGUGGCGAAGGCGAGUCUCUGGACGACUCCUGACACUGAGGCACGAAAGCUAGGGGAGCAAACAGG
rnacentral:rRNA from 1 species